rnacentral:rRNA from 1 species
UACAGAGGCCACGAGCGUUAGGCGGAAUCACUGGGCUUAAAGCGUGUGUAGGUGGAUGGGUAAGUACCUUGUGAAAUCCCGCGGCUCAACCGUGGAACUGCUUGGUAUACUGCCUGUCUUGAGGCACUCAGGGGCGAGCGGAACAAAUGGUGGAGCGGUGAAAUGCGUAGAUAUCAUUUGGAACGCCAAUGUGAAGACAGCUCGCUGGGGGGUGUAC